rnacentral:sRNA from 1 species
UUGCUAUCUGCGAUAUGGAAGAUUCGAACCUGCCGCAGGUUCGGGUCGAACGCAGUGAGACAACGGAGCCGUUUACGGCGACGGCCCGAAGGGCGAGGCGAAGCCGAGUCAUCCUGCACGACCCAUCA